UAACCAAGGUACAUGCCCUUGACCGGAAUCAAUCCUGGGACCCUUCAGUCCGCAGGCCGAUGCUCUAUCCACUGAGCCAAACCGGUUAGGGCCACACACUGUAUUUUUUUUUCUUAUUCUUUUGCCUGUGAACCUGAAUUGCCUAUCAGACUCGGCCUAGCACUUUGUGCCUAGCCUGUAUGUUACUAAAUGUUUCUGAAUAGAAUUCAAUAAAAAUGGAAAAUACAAAAGUAGAGAAAAGGAUAAGAUAAGCUGUACUCCUGUAAGGCUGGAAUGAAAGGAAGACACCAAGUGACUGAAAGUGGAAGAGGUGUGGCCCUACGCAAAAGACACUAUCUGCUCUUUCCCUUCCAUCCUGUAUUCAGCAAGUUAAGAAAGAGGUGAGGUGAGGGGCAGCUCUGACUGAGGACAAGACCAAUAGUAACUGAGGAUCUAGUCCGUCAGCAAGUAGGAGGGGAAUUCCCCCCCUGAGAGAAGAGUUGCUGCAGCUCCCUCCCUGCUUUGGAGGAGGGCCGGAGGCGGGAUUCUUGUGUCACUGCUUGUGGUUAAGGACUUCAAGGGGCUUAGGGAAGUGUUUUAGCAGGAGGCCUCGAGUUCUUGAUCCAAUCAUGUCAAAGCUGCAUAUUUUCAGUCUGGGGAAGGAAAAUGAAUGCAGAUGGGUUAUUUACUCCAGCUGACUCAUUUUAAGAAAACGGAUGUUAAGUGGCUUGUUCAAUCCUGACAGCAAUGAAAACUGGAACUAAAAUAAAAAUCCAAAGCCGAACGGUUUAGUUUUUGUUUUUGGUUUACAGUAUGUGAAGGGAUCUGUUUUCUGUUCUGGGACUUCCUGGAUUGAAAGGGCAGAGGAACAAGCCUCAUCCUGAUAUGAAGCCCAGAAGACUAAGGGUUGAGAGGACAAAUAUAUGAGGAUGAAGAAGGACUGGAAGAGGAUUAUUAUUAUCAGAUGAUGUAUAAUUACACAGUCACCCCCACUUAUGAUCCAGAUUAUUUUGGUGCAAAUUUCACUGUUGAUUACUCCAUAUUUGAGUUAGAGGACAGACUGAACAGGUUGGAUAAGGAGGUAACGGAAGCAGAAGAGACAACCAUUAUUCAUGAAACAGAACGUGUAGACCAUCAGAGGCCUGUAACAGUGAAAUCAGUGACAGUGGAACCAGUGACAAUGGAACCAGUGACAAUGGAACCAGUGACAAUGAAACCAGUGACAAUGAAACCAGUGACAAUGGAACCACAGAGUCCAGAUAUGAACCAUGCUGUAUCCAGUCUGCAGAGUCCUGUUUCCCUUCUCCUGUCCUGGACCCUCCUUCAGGAGUGGAUGUAUUUCAUGUAGAAGGAUGAGAAUGCUGUUAUGACUCUUUGGAUGGGGAUUUGGGAAGAAGAAAUUGGAAAAUAAAAUAAGUGAAAUAAUCUGGUUACUCUCUA